rnacentral:rRNA from 1 species
GAUGAACGCUGGCGGCGUGCCUAAUACAUGCAAGUCGAGCGAACGGACGAGAAGCUUGCUUUUCUGAUGUUAGCGGCGGACGGGUGAGUAACACGUGGAUAACCUACCUAUAAGACUGGGAUAACUUCGGGAAACCGGAGCUAAUACCGGAUAAUAUUUUGAACCGCAUGGUUCAAAAGUGAAAGACGGUCUUGCUGUCACUUAUAGAUGGAUCCGCGCUGCAUUAGCUAGUUGGUAAGGUAACGGCUUACCAAGGCAACGAUGCAUAGCCGACCUGAGAGGGUGAUCGGCCACACUGGAACUGAGACACGGUCCAGACUCCUACGGGAGGCAGCAGUAGGGAAUCUUCCGCAAUGGGCGAAAGCCUGACGGAGCAACGCCGCGUGAGUGAUGAAGGUCUUCGGAUCGUAAAACUUUGUUAUUAGGGAAGAACAUAUGUGUAAGUAACUGUGCACAUCUUGACGGUACCUAAUCAGAAAGCCACGGCUAACUACGUG